CUACGGGGUGCAGCAGUUAGGAAUAAUCUACAAUGCGCGAAAGCGUGAUAGUUUGAGCCAGAGUGUUUUCCAAAUUUGGACAACUUUUGUGAAAUGUAAAAAGUUUCACGAAUAAGGACUGGGUAAGACUAGUGCCAGCCGCCGCGGUAAUACCAGCGGUCCAAGUCGCAGCCAUUUUUAUUGGGUCUAAAACAUCCGUAGCUUGUUUUGUAAGUCUCUUGUGAAAUUUUAUAUCUUAAAUAUAGAGCGUGCAAGAGGUACUGCAAAGUUAGAGACUGGAAGACGUAGGAAGUACGAUUAAAGUAGCGGUAAAAUGCGUUAAUCUUAAUCGGACUCACAAUGGCGAAGGCAUCCUACGAGGACAGUUCUGACAGUAAGGGAUGAAAGCUAGGGGCGCAAAACGGAUUAGAUACCCCAGUAGUC
rnacentral:rRNA from 1 species